rnacentral:rRNA from 1 species
UACGUAGGUGGCAAGCGUUGUCCGGAUUUACUGGGCGUAAAGAGCGCGCAGGCGGUCGUUCAAGUCGCGUGUGAAAGCCCCCGGCUCAACUGGGGAGGGUCACGCGAUACUGAUCGACUCGAAGGCAGGAGAGGGAAGUGGAAUUCCCGGUGUAGUGGUGAAAUGCGUAGAUAUCGGAAGGAACAUCAGUGGCGAAAGCGACUUCCUGGACCAGUACCGACGUUCAGGCACGAAAGCGUGGGGAGCAAACAGG